rnacentral:rRNA from 1 species
ACGAAAGUCUGACCGAGCAACGCCGCGUGAGUGAAGAAGGUUUUCGGAUCGUAAAACUCUGUUGUUAGAGAAGAACAAGGAUGAGAGUAACUGUUCAUCCCUUGACGGUAUCUAACCAGAAAGCCACGGCUAACUACGUGCCAGCAGCCGCGGUAAUACGUAUGUGGCAAGCGUUGUCCGGAUUUAUUGGGCGUAAAGCGAGCGCAUGCGGUUUCUUAAGUCUGAUGUGAAAGCCCCCGGCUCAACCGGGGAGGGUCAUUGGAAACUGGGAGACUUGAGUGCAGAAGAGGAGAGUGGAAUUCCAUGUGUAGCGGUGAAAUGCGUAGAUAUAUGGAGGAACACCAGUGGCGAAGGCGGCUCUCUGGUCUGUAACUGACGCUGAGGCUCGAAAGCGUGGGGAGCAAACACGAUUAGAUACCCUGGUAGUCCACGCCGUAGACGAUGAGUGCUAAGUGUUGGAGGGUUUCCGCCCUUCAGUGCUGCAGCUAACGCAUUAAGCACUCCUCCUGGGGCAGUACGACUGCAAGGUUGAAACUCAAAGGAAUUGACGGUGGGCCCGCACACGCGGUGGAGCAUGUAGAUUUAAUUCUAAGCAACGCGCACAACCCUUACCAUGUCUUGGACAUCCUUUGACCCACU